AGAGCAUUUGGACCGUCGGUCUACUGAGUAAUUUCUCGCACUCGGUGGAAGAUCUUCCCUUUGUCAU
rnacentral:pre_miRNA from 1 species